rnacentral:rRNA from 1 species
GGACAACCUACCCUCAGGUCGGGGAUAAACCCGGGAAACUGGGUAUAAUACCCGAUAGAUCUCGGCUGCUGGAAUGCAUCGAGUUCUAAAGCUCCGGCGCCUGAGGAUGGGUCUGCGGCCUAUCAGGUAGUAGUGGGUGUAGCGUACCUACUAGCCUACGACGGGUACGGGUUGUGAGAGCAAGAGCCCGGAGAUGGAUUCUGAGACACGAAUCCAGGCCCUACGGGGUGCAGCAGGCGCGAAAACUUUACAAUGCCGGCAACGGCGAUAAGGGGACCUCGAGUGCCAGGUUACAAAUCUGGCUGUCGUGAUGCCUAAAAAGCAUUGCAUAGCAAGGGCCGGGCAAGACCGGUGCCAGCCGCCGCGGUAACACCGGCGGCUCGAGUGGUAACCGUUAUUAUUGGGUCUAAAGGGUCUGUAGCCGGCCGGAUAAGUCUCUUGGGAAAUCCAGCAGCUCAACUGUUGGGCUUUCAGGAGAUACUGUCUGGCUCGAGGCCGGGAGAGGUGAGAGGUACUUCAGGGGUAGGGGUGAAAUCUUGUAAUCCUUGAAGGACCACCAGUGGCGAAGGCGUCUCACCAGAACGGACCUGACGGCAAGGGACGAAAGCUAGGGGCACGAACCGGAUUAGAUACCCGGGUAGUCCUAGCCGUAAACGAUACUCGCUAGGUGUCGGCCACGGUGCGACCGUUGUCGGUGCCGUAGGGAAGCCGUGAAGCGAGCCACCUGGGAAGUACGGCCGCAAGGCUGAAACU